rnacentral:rRNA from 1 species
UACAGAGGUCUCAAGCGUUGUUCGGAUUCAUUGGGCGUAAAGCGCGUGUAGGCGGUUACGUAAGUCUGCUGUGAAAGUCGGAGGCUCAACCUUCGAAAGCCGGUGGAUACUGCGUGACUAGAGUACGGAAGAGGAGAGUGGAAUUCCUGGUGUAGCGGUGAAAUGCGCAGAUAUCAGGAGGAACACCAACGGCGAAGGCAGCUCUCUGGGACGUUACUGACGCUGAGACGCGAAAGCGUGGGGAGCAAACAGG